AGCUUGCUGCUUUUUAUAGUGAGUGGUUUCUGCCCGGUGUCGAUAAAGAUAAACGGCCGCGGUAUCCUGACCGUGCAAAGGUAGCAUAAUCAUUUGUCCUUUAAUUGGGGACUGGAAUGAAUGGAAGCUCGAGGGUCUGGCUGUCUCGCGCCUGUGUUUGAAGUUGCUGUCUCUGUGAAGAAGCAGAGGUGAAGAAGAGGGACAAGAAGACCCUAUUAAGCUUAACCUCUUGUAGACAAUCUUUGUUUUAUUAUUAUACAUUCCUGAUUGUCGGUGUGGUUUGGUUGGGGUGACUGAAGAAGAGUUGGAUCUUCUUUUUUUGAGAAACUUUAUGUUGUGGUGAUCGAUCCGGGAUUUUCCGAUUGAAAGAACUAGUUACUAUAGGGAUAACAGCGUAAUCUCUUCGUAGAGUUCUUAUUGAUGAGGAGGAUUGCGACCUCGAUGUUGACUUGCUGUUUCCUUUGUAGGUGUAGUAGCUGGGAGGGUUGGUCUGUUCGACCAUUAAAAUGGU
rnacentral:rRNA from 1 species